rnacentral:rRNA from 1 species
GAUGAACGCUGGCGGCGUGCUUAACACAUGCAAGUCGAGCGAAGCGGCUGAAUUGAUUCUUCGGAUGAUUUUCAGUUGACUGAGCGGCGGACGGGUGAGUAACGCGUGGGUGACCUGCCCCAUACCGGGGGAUAACAGCUGGAAACGGCUGCUAAUACCGCAUAAGCGCACGAAGCUGCAUGGCUUUGUGUGAAAAACUCCGGUGGUAUGGGGUGGGCCCGCGUCUGAUUAGGCAGUUGGCGGGGUAACGGCCCACCAAACCGACGAUCAGUAGCCGGCCUGAGAGGGCGACCGGCCACAUUGGGACUGAGACACGGCCCAAACUCCUACGGGAGGCAGCAGUGGGGAAUAUUGCACAAUGGGGGAAACCCUGAUGCAGCGACGCCGCGUGAGCGAAGAAGUAUUUCGGUAUGUAAAGCUCUAUCAGCAGGGAAGAUAAUGACGGUACCUGACUAAGAAGCCC